UACGUAGGGUGCAAGCGUUGUCCGGAAUUACUGGGCGUAAAGGGCUCGUAGGCGGCCAACUAAGUCAGACGUGAAAUCCCUCAGCUUAACUGGGGAACUGCGUCUGAUACUGGAUGGCUUGGAUUCGGGAGAGGAAUGCGGAAUUCCAGGUGUAGCGGUGAAAUGCGUAGAUAUCUGGAGGAACACCGGUGGCGAAGGCGGCAUUCUGGACCGAUAUUGACGCUGAGGAGCGAAAGCCAGGGGAGCAAACGGG
rnacentral:rRNA from 1 species